CCUACGGGAGGCAGCAGUGAGGAAUAUUGGUCAAUGGACGGAAGUCUGAACCAGCCAUGCCGCGUGCAGGAAGACGGCCCUAUGAGUUGUAAACUGCUUUUGUACAAGGGUAAACCUGAAUACGUGUAUUCCGCUGAAAGUACUGUACGAAUAAGGAUAGGCUAACUCCGUGCCAGCAGCCGCGGUAAUACGGAGGAUCCAAGCGUUAUCCGGAUUUAUUGGGUUUAAAGGGUGCGUAGGCGGCUUGAUAAGUUAGAGGUGAAAUGUUCGAGCUUAACUCGGGAACUGCCUCUAAUACUGUUGAUCUAGAGAGUAGAUGCGGUAGGCGGAAUGUAUGGUGUAGCGGUGAAAUGCUUAGAGAUCAUACAGAACACCGAUUGCGAAGGCAGGUGACCAAUCUAUAUCUGACGUUGAGGCACGAAAGCGUGGGGAGCAAACAGGAUUAGAUACCCCUGUAGUC
rnacentral:rRNA from 1 species